GGGGAUUUAGCUCAGUGGUUAGAGCGCUUGCCUAGGAAGCGCAAGGCCCUGGGUUCGGUCCCCAGCUCCA
rfam:Rattus norvegicus chromosome 18, whole genome shotgun sequence.